rnacentral:rRNA from 1 species
UACGUAGGGGGCAAGCGUUGUCCGGAAUCAUUGGGCGUAAAGAGCGUGUAGGCGGCUCGAUAAGUCUGUUCUGAAAGUCCAGGGCUCAACCCUGGGAUGCGGAUGGAUACUGUCGAGCUCGAGUCCGGAAGAGGCGAGUGGAAUUCCUGGUGUAGCGGUGAAAUGCGCAGAUAUCAGGAGGAACACCAAUGGCGAAGGCAGCUCGCUGGGACGUGACUGACGCUGAGACGCGAAAGCGUGGGGAGCGAACAGG